GUGUGUUGUUUUUUUUUAAUUUGUGGUGAAAUUUCCAAAUUAAAAAAUGGAUUUGCGGAAUCAUAAGCUUUUUAGGCCGAAAAAGCCGAAUCUGUCUCGAUCUUCGUCUGUCUCUACUCCAAGCCUAGUUCCGUUCGAGGCGGCUGUGGGUAGCGAGAUGGUGUCACGACGUCGAAUACUUUCGCGUUCCCGCGACGACCUAACGCAGGCGUUCGCAGCACCCGUUGAGGAAGAGGAAGAUGUGUGGUAUCAAAAGGAUAAACUUUAUAAGGAACACAUACAAGAAGUACUGGACAAAUGGACACAGAUAGACGACGAGAUAUGGGCAAAAGUGAUAGUGUUCGAGAGGAACAGACGCGUUGCCAAAGCAUAUGCGCGUGCUCCUGUACUUACCAUCAACGGCUCGGACGAUGGAUUCGACGGCAUGAGAAUCGGUCUUUGCGGCUUUGAUAACCCACACAGAGAUCAAAAGACAGAAGAAGUCAGAAGACACAUAGGACAAGGUGUCAAAAUUAAAAUGGACGACGCCGGUAACAUACUCAUCAGACGCUACUCCAAGAGUAACGUAUUUGUGAAGAGUACGGCAGCCACCAGCAACGAAGAGACGGCUAUCGGGCAGGACAUAGUCAAACUACCUGGAUAUUCACUUGAACAGGAGAAAAUAUUUAAGUUAUUCGACAUGAAGAAGUUCCAAUCCAACGUGAACCGUGAGCUUCGCCGUUCGUACCCUGACCGCAGGCGGCUGGAGACGCAGUGCCUCAGCGCUAUUGCCUUCGUCAAGUCGGACAACGAUCUCCUCGACUGCCCCAUCUGGGUGCUCAUCAUCAACGUCGUUGCUAUGGAUAUGCUCAAGUCCAAGCUUCCACCUGUUCAAAGACUGCUGGACAUCAAGAACCGACCCCGCAUUCCAAUUCCCGACGAGGACCCGUACAGCAUCGCAAGCUCCAACGCAAAUGGCUCAGGAUCUAGCGGCAGCUCCGGAGGCUAUGGUCACAAUGGACACAACGGACACCAGAAUAAUGGGCAUGGAGUAGUAGCCGCAACCAGGGAACAGCUGAUGAUGCAAAUGGGCCAGAGGAGAGGUGACAAGCCUCCGAAGUUACCACCAAGGGAGAAUGGGUAUGGGCCCGCUGAUAUUCCCAAGGUACGUGGAUACAAACCUGAUUACGAUGACAUCGAAGGCCACGAUGGACGCGUGCCAACACAGUUCCCAAGAGGCAAAUCAGAUAAGGGCAAAGACAACAAGAAAUACGAUGAUCCUUACUACUGUGGUCUGCGAGCACGCGUGCCCAACUUUGUGAAGACUAACGGCGCGAAGGUCUUGCCUUCGAUGACUGAACGUCUGACUCUGAAGGAGGCUCCAGUGCCCAGCAAGCGCUACAGCGUGGCUCACGCUCACCCCGGCCCAUUCCCGCCGCACAUGGCGCCGUUUGCUCACGCGCCGAUGCCGCCACAGGCUUUGUGGCACGCUCGCUCUUACGAGAGCGGAAUCGGUGCGUACGAUCGUCUACCAAGAAAAGAGAAGCUCAUGUUCCAAUUCUAUCCGAACAGGGACAAACGGCUGCGACCCCUCGUGAUCCAGCAGCCACGCUAGUGUAUAUACAGACUAACCCCGCACUUUAAUUCCACCGCCUCAACGCGGACUCUUCGCUCCAAUCUUGACGGAGAGCAGCACUAUGAUCCAUACGCGUUGUACGGACGGUUGCCCAUGCCUGGGCGUGGCUUCCCCCCACCACCAGCACCUCACGCGCGUCACAUGUUCAUUGGAGAGUGGGACUAGAGUGCGAACCAACUGACACCUGGCAACUUAAUCUAGACAUAAGCAAAGGAUACUGUCAAAUCGAUAUAGAGAAAUAUCAGUACAUUUUGGUACGAUUUGUAUGUAGACGAUUUAUUCAAUCUUUUCAAAUGAAGUAACGAAUCAUGUAACCAAAGAUUGAAAUGUAAUUUAACUGGUUUUAGGGUGCAUGAAGAUAGGUAUGAAAUUAAGAAUCGAUGUGGCAGUAUCUUUGAAAUAUAUUAUUCUUUAUUGUUGUAAAUAUUCAAAGAUUUGUAAAAUAAAAUGAAUUUAAAAAUUGUGUUUACAUCAAUGACGCAGUUGUUUAUUUUUGUAUGUGGAGCAAGAGAUUUGCGUUAUGGUAUUGCGAAUAUUAUCGAGAUUUCUAGUAUACAUCAAUAUGUAAUCCUAUAAUCAACGUAUUAUGUCUAAGUAUUAAGUAUAGCAUAUAGUAAUCGAGUUUACCAACACGUUAGUAGUAAAGUAUUUAGCUGAAUAUUGUAAAAAUUUAGCGUAAUUAAUUAAACCAAUAAGUUAACUUUCACUGCCAAUGUUUAACGAUUUGCGUGUUCAAUGUCAUCACAAUUGUCUUGUCGUUAAAGUAUUUUCUCUUUUUUAUUUUAAUUUUUAAGUGGCAAUCCUAGUCAAAACAGGGUUGGGAAAAUUUAAAACAAUUAGGGAUUUUGAAAUAUUAUUGCUAUUGUAAUUAUUGCAAUUUUCAAAAAGUUAAGAUGGUUUUUUAGAUGUGCUGUUUUCAAACAUUUCAUUUUAUUGUAUCGAACAAAGUGACUGCAAUAUUUAUUUUAAUUGAAGAACAAAAUGCUAUAUUAGUAUACGAACAAUAAUUUUCGCCCUUCGAAACAUCACAUAUUGUUAAUAUAAUAUUAUUUGUAAUUGGCAUGUAAAUUGCAUAUUUUUAAAUUCGACAUGUAGGAAUAAGUUAGGAAUUCAAUUAUAGUUUUAAUUAAUACUUUUGUAAAUAUCUCUCUUCUUUAAUAUCAUAUUAAGGUCUAUAUCCACGUAUUUCCUGAUAUAUUUCCCAAUACUCAAUUUAUCAUAAUAUUAAUUAUGAUCUAGUUUUGUACAACUACGUUGACAAUUUAAAUGUAAUUUAUUGUCACAAUUAAUUUUAAGGUUUUAAUAUUUUUUGUAUAUUUAGAUACGUUUUGUAUUGGUAGCACAUUAAGUGUUAUAUUUUAACUGAUAAACUCAUACAUUAAAAUAUUAUAUUCUUUGGAAAAACUGUGUUCUAUAGAGACACAGUUCUUUUUACCAUAUCUUAUUUUAUUUGCUUCAAAAACUGAAUUGUAGCUUCAAAAAUUCGGAGGUGCUACACAGGUUACCAUAAAAUAUUGUAUCUUAUGCAUUAUUGUAGAUAAUUAUAAUGAUACUUUAAGAUGAGAAUAUACACGUGAAACUAUAGUAUUUUUCCAAAUCAAAGACGGUGAUAGAGGAAAAUGGAAUACGCUGAGUAAAGUAAAUGUAUUAAAAAUAUGUUCUGUAAAUGUAACUUUUUAUACAAAACAAGAUCAUGAAACUGUCAAUUUACUUAUUGAUAAUUGCAAUUAGAUAAGUAAAGCAUUUUUAAAGAAAAAUGUUAUGAUAAAAGGGUCGAAUGACUCUGGCAAAAUGUAAAAUACUGCUGCUAUUACGAAUUUAAGUAAUAUAACAUCAACAUCCACUUGUAUUGUGUAGCAUUGGGUGUUGGUUAUCGAGUAACCUAUCAUAAGGAAGAACGUUUAUGAGUAAAUAUACAAUUAUUUUAAUAAAA